CCUCCGCCAGGCGGUGCUGCGCUGCUGCUUUCCCCCGAGUUUCCUUCUCCAGAUUCGGGACGAAACAGCGCUACCAACGGCUGAUGGGGACACAGACAGAUGCUGCCUUCAGAACAUUUCUCUGAGAUCGUCCUUUGGAUUUACCCAGGAGGCCACUGCGUCGCAGAAGAAUAUAAAGUCCUGUUCCAAAGAAGAGAAAGAGGUGCACCUGACGACAUGGACGGCCAAACUCAACAUUGAAUAUGUCAAGAGCAUCAUCCAGUGACAAGCUAAGGAACUUGUAAAGUGCACUAACAACUUCCACUAUGAGGAGAGCGAGGAAGAGAAGAGGAGAGCAACAGG